GAGCCUGUGGAGAGGGAAGGCAGGAAAGGAAGGAGGUUACAGAAAAGCUGUCCCUAUGUAGGCCAGAACACAGGUGGAGCGGAGACUGGGAUACUGGAGCUUCUUUGUUGGGACUCUGCUGCUGUGGGGGUUGGGGAGUUGUCUAUCAGAGAGGGAUGGGGUGUUUAUGGAAUAGGAGCCCAUUGAGCCCUGGUCUGUUGCAAGGGUGGAACACAGGCUUGCAGAUGUUGGCAGAAUGCUCUGGAAGGGACCUUCAGUGCCAUCCUUUGAGGGAGGAUGCAUGAAUUUUCUCCUGGAACCCAUAGAUUCCUGAAAUUCUAGAAUCCUGAUGAAUAGAGGCAGCAUGCCCAUAACCUAGCUGUGGGCAUUCCAGAGCCUCAGGGUUUUGUAGAGAAACACUAGGUCCACACUCUGGCCUUCCUCCAUGGCCACACUACUUAGAAACAGGUUCCAGGUCUCCAUGUAAAGGCAGAGGCCAGCAAGAAAUGGCAAAUCAGAGCCACGUGGGGGCGCCCUACUUGGAUGAUGUCCAGGUGAAGCGGAAGUGAGCAAUCGGUACAGUGGGGCAGGAACCAUCAGCGGGAUCGCUCCUUUCAGUACUUUGAAUCCGCUGGAUACUUAAGUAAACGGAUGUCAGGGAGGAGCAAUUAUUUGCAAGCAAUUUUCACAAAUCCCUUCCCCUGGGAGUUCCCUCCCAAGAUUAUGAAAACAUCAGUCACACACUUAAAGAGAAUCUCUCAGCAUCUGCCAGCAGGGGCAACCCCCUCCCACCCCGGGGAUGGGUCGGCAGCUCUCCGCCUUCUGCAACUCCACCAGAGGCCACCUCCGCCUCGGGGAGGGGAGGGACGCGCUCUGAGGACUUGCGCUGUUGGUUCCCUAGAUUUUCUAAGGAUCCACACACAGUUAUAAUUAAUUCUGUUCUGCCGCGGCACAUUUUGUUCCGAUCUCAGUAGAGAUAGUUUUGUGUUAUGACUUGCCUACGGUUUGAUUUGUGAGUGGGUGUGUUUAUUCCUCUCCUGCUGUGUAGAAUGGGGGGGUGUGGCUAACACGCUUGCGCGAGCCGGUGCCUCGCAGCAACAGGAAGUGUUUGGACUAGGAGACAGAGUAGCUGGGUCGAGUCCUGGGUCAUGAAGGGGUGGGACCUCCCGGAGUCGUGGAGCUGAGCGCUACGCCCGGUGGGGACAUUCGGGAGGGAGGUAUAGGAUUGCCCGCUACAGCGCUGAGUGGCUGUUGUCCGUCCGGUCACAGGAUCAAGGUUUUGUGCACUGGAGGCUCACCCGGGUCUCAGAGGGGAUGCGGAUCCACGUCACAUUCAUGUAGCUGUGUAGAAGGUUCAGCUUGGCUUCUAGGGACAGGAUGAGGCUGACAAAAAAACACUCAAUGAAAAGUUUAGCUCCGGAGGUGACAGGAGCUCACUCGCCUGCGCAUGCGUGCAACCUCUCCUCUCCCUGCCCUUUAGUCCCCCAAACCCUAACAAGAGUCCCGUCACCAUCACCCUCCCUCAGGGUGUCGGGGUCAGGACUGGACUGAGAGGCAGGUCUUACUUGGCUAGCCGGGCAUUGUCGUUGUCAUCUUUUCCCCACUCCCAGUCCUUUCCCGGGUCCACCGCAAAGUGCAAGGGCAGCAGCUUGUGUUCCGAAUCCGUCAGAGGGAUCACAGCUGAAACAGAAGAGAGAGCCACGCAGUGACAGGCAGCUAACCGUCUGCCAGGAGGCUUGGGCACACCAGCAGAGCUCAGAGCUCUGGAAGAGAAAUUAAAAAAUAGCUGUCCCAGGGCAGGUAACCCAGUGGAGACAGAAGGUCGACUCAAAGCUUGCAUACCACGAGUGUUAAGACCACAGGCUCUAAACUCGAACACAUUAACAAUUUUCUAUUAUGUAGGCAAAGAGCAAGCAGGUGGAGGCAUCACCUGGACUGUCUGGAUCUCUUUCUGCAUCUCUCUGCGUCAGGAUGAGAAAAAGCUAUGGCUGCUUCUGCUAUUUCCAAGGAAAGACCCAGGCGGGUGUGGUGAGUCAUGGAAGGCCACCUUUGCCUCCAUUUCACCUCAGGGAAGGGCAGAGUUUGCAAGUCAGGAGACCUGUGUGCAGGGCUCUACUGUGGCAAGACUGCAGGUGGGGGCUGCAGAUUCCCCUGACCCUUCCACAGGGAGCUCACCUGUGGGACCAGGCUGCAGGCUCAAACAAAAGCGUCUGGUGAUGAGUCCAGGGGAGGCCUCUUUAAAAGGGGGGCCUUCUGUGGAGAUGAUGAUUAGGUGGGGGACCUGGCCUAUUAUUUCUCAGAGGAGUUGGUUCCCCACAAAGCACCUGGACAGAAGCACUCCAGCCUCAAGAGAUCAGCGUGGGUGGGUGUCCUGCGAUCUGACAGACGUUCCUGAGGGGGUCCCCGAUACCCAGCAAAUGGAAUCUUUAAUGUCAUAUCUGCCUUCUAAGGGUGUUGCCAGGGGUAAAGAUCAGGAAGAAGUGUGGAGGUGGUUUCCAAAUCCCACCUUCCUAAUGAGUACCAGUCUCCUUUGUGUCACUCCAUUUAGUAUGCCUCACCCCUCUGGAGUCUCACCACAGCAGAGAAGCCCAGCCCAGAGCCUCUGGCAGCUGCUUUGUUCCUUUGCUUGCCCAUAGCCUAUGAUUCACACUAGCAGUGCCAUGGUAAGAACAAAAAGGCAAACAAAACACAGAAAAUCCAGGAGCCAAUACUGCAAAGUUGAGAAAUUGAAUACGACUCAAUGCUGCCCUCUAGUGUCUCUAAAGAGAUGAGUGCAAACUGCUCCCUCCCUCUUUCUUCCCACCUCUACCACAAACAGAAGAAAGGCACUUUUGCUGAUUAUCAGCCAGCGUAGGGAUUUUCCUUGUGUGUGGCCAGGGAUAGAGCAGUUUAGGUGAGGUCUGAUGGGAGGAAGGGGCAGGGGCCUCUCAGCUUCAGCCUUGAUGUCGCUUUCUUUCCAAGGCAGAGGUCAGCCUGUCCUAUGGGUCAGCACAAACACUGAGGCUUUAGUGUGCCUUCCCACCGUGGCUGGGGGCAGCAGAGUGAUCUUACCAACACUGCAUACCGGACUCAGUAGAAUUGUGACCCCUAGGGCUCUGUACUGCAUACAGAGGGCCAGUGCAAGGGCCCUGAGUCAGGAUGGAGCUAUCAGGACAUUGUAAAUAUGCAUCCCUGUAGAUCUUGAAAUCAAAAUUGUUAUAGACAAUAAUAACUUGUCAGGAAUAGUUCCUGUCGGUAUAAUUUGGGCUCCUGGGCUCUCUUCCCCUUCAUGGGGCGGAGUUGGUUGGGGAAAUGCCUGCCUGCUGUGACUACACUCUCCAUCCUCUUAGCAAGGGUGUGGGCUGCAGAGGGGUUUGCUUAGCUGAAUGCACAGGCUGUAAGUAAAGUAAUGUGGUAAGUUCAGGGCAAUAUGGCUAGGCUGAGAGGACUUCCCCCUCUCUGCCCAUGUCUCCUGCGAAGAAGUACAAGACGUCAGGAGCAGGCGCUUGAGCCCCACUUGGAGAAGAACUGUCUGCUACUCAGAACUCCAGUGCAGGCUUUGUGUACUUGGGGGCCCAAGCUGUAUGUUGUCAGCCACUAUGGUUUUGUUUGGUUUCUGAUAAAUUAUCUAAAUUAGGCCAUCCCAGUCUUCUCACCUCCCCGUUAGUGUGCCUGGGGAUUCUGACCCUCAGCAGAUAGCCCGGACUGGUUCCCGGCCUGUCCACUCUGAGAAGACAACUGAAACGCACCUGAAGAUUCCAGUGCUGGCUACUUAGAAAGAGCCUGACAGUCUGUCAACUCAGGUCUUGGGGAGAAGAAUAGGCCCUAAGUCCGGGGCUGGAGACAUACACUCAUACCUGAUCUUUAGAGUAUGAACUGCUGCCUGUUUGAGGGCCGAGGAACGGAAAGGCCAGGGACACCUCAAAAACAGGCUGUCCCUUUGUACAUGGGAAAUCCUCUGUUUAACAUCUGCUUUACCCAGGCAAAUAAAUGGCGGCCUGGUAGGGCGCCCCCUGGUGGCAAAUGCCAAUAAUAGCAACAGCUUCCAAAAUAGGCCUGAGGAUUGGUUUGCUUUGGAAAGAACUCUCUCUUACUUUUAGCCUGUAAGCCUACUUACUACAGCAUCUCCAACUAGCCCAUGAAGAUUUGGAACUUUCAUUUUAUGAAACACAAUAGAUAUUUCUGCUUGAGGUGUUUGCCAUUACAAUGAGAAAGCUGCAAAUCUUCAGCAUUUCUUUAGCCUAUCCCUGAAUGGACGGCUCAGCCAGUCUAAGUGUCUCCGAUUCUAAGGAAAGAAAAAUGCCUCUGAGAGAAGACAAGAGACAAGGGAGGGGUUGAUUCGACCCCAUUAGGAAGAACUUAGCUAAAUGUGUCACACGCAUGAAAGAGAAAUGCAAGCAGUGAAGUUAUAUAGUCUCUUCCUCCAGAAAGGAGAAUUAGGAAACCGCUCCCGUCUAUAGGACUGAGCAUGGUGGUCACAAAAAGGAUGGGUGAGGAGCUAGAGGAAUGGCUCAGUGGUAAACUCUCUGCCUUGCAAACAUGAGGUUCAAAACCCAGGACCUAUUAAAGGCUAGGUGCAAAAAUUCGUGCCUGUAAUCUCAGGGCUGGGGAGAUGGAGACAGGAGGACCUGUCUUGCUAUACAGCCAGUUGAGCUAAGUCAGCAACAGACCAUGUCUCAAAAUAUAAGGGACAAAGUGAUUGAGGAAGACACAAUAUUGACCUUUGGUUCCCACAGGCACGAGUACACGGGUGCGCCCUCCACCUCCCCUGAAGUGUUCUCUGCAGAGCUUGCUGUCUUCUCUCCACUAAGGAGCAGGAGCUUACAUUGGAGAGUUCAGGCCACAAACACAGGUGGCGGUGGAGUGUGGGGAAGUGAGGAAGCCAUGAAGGAAUUGUAUAAAGGACAAAGUUCUUAAUGAGUGGACACAGCCAUGUCAAGGACCAAUGCCUCAGACCCAUGGGAAAUUACCACAAUCCCGUUGUGCCAGGGACAGAACGGCAACACCUUCCUCUGGCCCAAGUACAGCUCUUCACAAAUGUCGGUCAGUGUGCGCACUGUUAAAUGAACUGGAGGUUAAAGGCAUGCGAUCGGGGCUGGAGGCAUGGCUCAGUGGUAGAACACGGCCCUCGGUUUGGGCCCCAGCAUUGAAAAAAAAAAACAAGUCCCAACUUAUUGGCCUGGGGAAUACUAAAACACAGAUUAAUGUUUGUUUUUACCCUGGGUUGCACAUCAAAUGUAGCUGACGGGGCUGGAGAGAUGGCUCAGUGGUUAAGAACACUGUUUGCUCUUCCAGAGGACCUGAGUUCAAUUCCCAGCACCCAUAUGGUGGCUCACAUUUGUAAUGGGAUCUGAUGCCCUCUUCUGGAAGGUCUGAAGACAGCUACAAUGUAUUCGCAUAUAUAAAAUCAAUAAAUCUUUUAAAAAAUGAUGUAACUGA